rnacentral:misc_RNA from 1 species
GAUGAAGAACGUAGCGAAAUGCGAUAAGUAGUGUGAAUUGCAGAAUUCAGUGAAUCAUCGAAUGUUUGAACGCACAUUGCGCCCUUUGGUAUUCCAAAGGGCAUGCCUGUUCGAGCGUCAUUUGUACCCUCAAGCUUUGCUUGGUGUUGGGCGUCUUGUCUCUAGCUUUGCUGGAGACUCGCCUUAAAGUAAUUGGCAGCCGGCCUACUGGUUUCGGAGCGCAGCACAAGUCGCACUCUCUAUCAGCAAAGGUCUAGCAUCCAUUAAGCCUUUUUUUCAACUUUUGACCUCGGAUCAGGUAGGGAUACCCGCUGAACUUAAGCAUAUCAAUAAGCGGAGGA